AAGCAGUGUUGCGGACAUUACAUUUUUUCACUUUAGUAUUUUUCAUUUGCCCUGCACCUGCCUGAAGGUGGGAUGUGCACACAAUUUAUUUUAUAAUUGUAAUCUGGGCAUUUAA